GACGAGGGGUCCUAGCGUUGUUCGGAAUCACUGGGCGUAAAGCGUAUGUAGGCGGCUCUCUAAGUCGGUUGUGAAAUCCCAUGGCUUAACCAUGGAAUUGCGUUCGAAACUGGAGAGCUUGAGUGUGGGAGAGAUUGGUAGAAUACCUGGUGUAGUGGUGAAAUACGUAGAUAUCGAGGUGGAAUACCGGUGGCGAAAGGCG
rnacentral:rRNA from 1 species